ensembl:ncRNA Y116A8C.48 ncRNA
AAGGAAGACCCGGAAACUCCAACUGUCAGCCAAGAGGACUCCGAUUUAUGGUCGAGCCUGAAGACUUCGUCGAACACGAUUGGCCUAAGGGAAUCAAUGGAUUUGCAAGAGCAAACCGGAGAGCUCGCUGCUAGGAUAUUGGAGAUGUGAACGAAGAGGAGCUGCUUUCGAGAGAAACGAUGGGAUCCAGGUGGCUGGACUCAAGAUUUCGAAAAUAAAUACGAAAAAAUAAUCAAGACAGCAGAUGGAAAAAAUCAAAGAGUGUUACUUUAUGAAUUGUAUCAUAACUUGAAUCAUUGGAAUCAUUUUGGAAAUUCGUAUAGAAAAAGUUCCAUUGAUCUUAUUGCAGAAAUACUGACAUUUUAA